rnacentral:rRNA from 1 species
CCUACGGGUGGCAGCAGUGAGGAAUAUUGGUCAAUGGACGAGAGUCUGAACCAGCCAAGUAGCGUGAAGGAUGACUGCCCUAUGGGUUGUAAACUUCUUUUAUAUGGGAAUAAAAUGUUCCACGUGUGGGAUUUUGUAUGUACCAUAUGAAUAAGGAUCGGCUAACUCCGUGCCAGCAGCCGCGGUAAUACGGAGGAUCCGAGCGUUAUCCGGAUUUAUUGGGUUUAAAGGGAGCGUAGGUGGAUUGUUAAGUCAGUUGUGAAAGUUUGCGGCUCAACCGUAAAAUUGCAGUUGAAACUGGCAGUCUUGAGUACAGUAGAGGUGGGCGGAAUUCGUGGUGAAGCGGUGAAAUGCUUAGAUAUAACGAAGAACUCCGAUUGCGAAGGCAGUUCACUGGACUGCAACUGACACUGAGGCUCGAAAGUGUGGGUAUCAAACAGGAUUAGAUACCCGAGUAGUC